GAUGAACGCUAGCGGCAGGCUUAAUACAUGCAAGUCGAGGGACAGCACAGGUAGCAAUACUGGGUGGUAACCGGCAAACGGGUGCGGAACACGUACACAACCUUCCUUUAAGUGGGGGAUAGCCCAGAGAAAUUUGGAUUAAUACCCCGUAAUAUAGUUGAAUGGCAUCAUUUGAUUAUUAUAGCUACGGCGCUUAAUGAUGGGUGUGCGGCUGAUUAGAUAGUUGGCGGGGUAACGGCCCACCAAGUCUACGAUCAGUAGCUGAUGUGAGAGAAAGAUCAGCCACACGGGGACUGAGACACGGGACCGACGCCUACGGGAGGCAGCAGUAAGGAAUAUUGGUCAAUGGACGCAAGUCUGAACCAGCCAUGCCGCGUGAAGGAUUAAGGUCCUCUGGAUUGUAAACUUCUUUUAUUUGGGACGAAAAAGGGCCUUUCUAGGUCAACUGACGGUACCAGAUGAAUAAGCACCGGCUAACUCCGUGCCAGCCGCCGCAGUAAAAC
rnacentral:rRNA from 1 species